rnacentral:lncRNA from 1 species
AAUUAGAUUGAAAGGGCUUAAAAUGCUCUUCGUAUUCAAGUUUCUCUCACAAUUAGGGCUUCUAGUAAGUAUUUGAAGUGACAGCUAAUUAUUUUUUUCAUGCUUUCUAGUUUAUGGCACUAUCUUUCUUUUUUUAUUAUGAGGAAAACUUUAUGGUAGUAUCAUAUCUACUAUCUCCUAUAUAUGACAUUCUUGUUGAACACAGUAUUUUUGGUGUUUUACCAUUAAAGGGGGAAAAGAAAAAUCAGAUCUAUUUGUUUGAUUAUGUAAAGGACAAACAUUUGUUAGACAGUCGAAUUUAUGCUCUAUGAUUCUAACGAAGAAAAGAGAUGUUAGUAACAUUUCUUGUUAACCUCAAUAAAAAAAGGAAAAAUAGAAAAGUGCACUGUUGCUUGUGUUUUUCUUCUCAUACGUGAACACUUGUUAGGUCUUGUAGCUGAGAAAAGUGCACUUGUUUCUCAUACGUGAACACUUGUAAUCUAGAUUCCACUUCGAUAAUUUUCCAGAGUAGACAACCUUGGUGGUGGUGUCAACAAUGGCCUUGAUGGCAUCAAGGAUUGUGGUUCCUGUUGCAAAGGAUCGCUCGAAGUUCAAAACAUUACCAUGCUCUGCUAUGUCUGAAAUAAGAAACAAAGUCAAUCUAAGGUGUUUAGAAUGUUUACCAAUUGUUAGAUUGUUCCCACUGCAUCCUUGCCAAGUGAUAGUCCAUCCUCCACACUGACAG